rnacentral:rRNA from 1 species
UGACGGGACCGCACAAGCGGUGGAUGAUGUGGUUUAAUUCGAUGCAACGACGAAAACCUUACCCACCUUUGACAUGGCAGGAAUCCUGAAGAGAUUUGGGAGUGCUCGAAAGAGAACCUGCACACAGGUGCUGCAUGGCUGUCGUCAGCUCGUGUCGUGAGAUGUUGGGUUAAGUCCCGCAACGAGCGCAACCCUUGCCAUUAGUUGCUACGAAAGGGCACUCUAAUGGGACUGCCGGUGACAAACCGGAGGAAGGUGGGGAUGACGUCAAGUCCUCAUGGCCCUUAUGGGUAGGGCUUCACACGUCAUACAAUGGUCGGUACAGAGGGUUGCCAAGCCGCGAGGUGGAGCCAAUCCCAGAAAGCCGAUCGUAGUCCGGAUUGUUCUCUGCAACUCGAGAGCAUGAAGUCGGAAUCGCUAGUAAUCGCGGAUCAGCAUGUCGCGGUGAAUACGUUCCCGGGUCUU